UACGUAGGGGGCUAGCGUUGUCCGGAAUCAUUGGGCGUAAAGAGCGUGUAGGCGGCCCGGUAAGUCCGCUGUAAAAGUCAAAGGCUCAACCUUUGAAUGUCAGUGGAUACUGCCGGGCUAGAGUCCGGAAGAGGCGAGUGGAACUCCUGGUGUAGCGGUGGAAUGCGCAGAUAUCGGGAGGAACACCAAUGGCGAAGGCAGCUCGCUGGGACGGUACUGACGCUGAGACGCGAAAGCGUGGGGAGCAAACAGG
rnacentral:rRNA from 1 species